AGAGCGCGGGGCGAGGCGGUGCCGUGUGCAGAGCCCGCCCCUCGCUGCGAUUGGCCGGCUGUGCCGUCAGUCGUGGUUGUGGCGCGCUGAUUGGUGAGAGCGGGGCGAAGCACGGCCCCGCUGGCGGCCUGAGGGCGGCCCUGGCUGGGCAGCGGCGCCAUUGGCGGAGCGUCUGUGCGGGCCCGGGAGCGGCGGCAGCGGCCGGAGGCCGGGGAGGCGGCAUUGGCGGAGCUGGGAGGCGGCCCCGGCGCAGAUCUGAAAGAUGCUUUCUUUUGCCUCCCUAUCCAUGAAGCCAGCCAGAAAUUUUUUUGCACUUGAAUAGAAAAGCCCUAAAAGCAGGCACAAAACCUAGCUCACACGGUCCAUGUGCCUCAAGGCUUCAAAAUGCCCCACUCUGUUUGGAGAACAACUUGCAAAGAACCAGAGUUCUGGGAAACUCCACAGGAAGAAGGAAGAAGCCUUUCAAACUUCCUAGAACUCCAAGGAUACAAAGUAUUAAAGAAAAAGGCAGGGGCAUGGCAGGGUGGUGCCAGCUGUGGGUUUAUAAUUACAGACAGUUUGUCAGAUAGAGAUCUCCAGUGGACAAAGGAAGCCACUCGGGCCUUUCGCCAGCUAAAGAGUGCCCUCAUGUCAGCUCCAGCUUUAGGACUUCCAGAUUCUUUCUAUUCUCCCAUGUGGCUCAGGACUUGAAUUCAUACUGGAGGGCAGUUGCUUACUUUUCCAAGCAACUAGGUGCAAUGCCAAAGGAUGGCCAGGUUGCCUCAGAGCUGCAGCAGCAGUCGUGCUGAAUGUACAAGAAGCACGCAAGUUUACCCUGGGACAGAAAUUGACUCCACUAGUGUCCCACACAGUGCCCGCAGUACUGGAAGUAAAGGGUGGCCACCGGCUCUCACCACAGAGGUUCCUGAAGUACCAGGCCAUCAUGGUAGAACAAGAUGAUAUAGAGAGAGUGGUAACUAACAUUGUCAGUCCAGCUUCUUUUCUCAGUGGAAAUCAAGGAGAAGCAGUACACCACAACUGCUUGGAGACUACUGAAGUUACUUACUCCAGCCACCCAGACUUAAAGGACACUCCUUUGGACGAUGCAGAGACCUGGUUCACUGACAAGAGUAGCUAUGUUGCCAGUGGAAAGCGACCUGCUGGAUAUGCAGUCACUACCUGCAGAGAGGUAAUAGAAUCUGCACCCUUACCAGCAGGCACCUCUGUGCAGAAGGCCAAGAUUAUUGCACUGCCCCGUGCCUUGGAAACGGCAAAAGGAAAGAGAAUAAACAUUUAGACAGACUCUAGACAUGCAUUCGGAGUUGUGCAGGCACAUGGAGCUGUCUAGAGAGAGAGAGAGGGGACUGCUGACCUCACAAGGAGAGAACAUCAAACAUGCACAAGAGAUAAUCCGGCUGCUGGAAGUAUGCAUAUUAAAGCACACCAGAGAGUGAGCUCAGAAUUGGGAAAAAUAAAUGAGCUGGUGGAUGGAAAGCAGCAAAAGGUGAGGUAAUUAUGGACAGAUUUCCCUUAAAGGUAAGCCAGAAUAUAAUAAUACUAAUCAAAAGGGACAUAUAACCAACAGGGGUGGGCUACCAUUGAAAGGGAGCUGGUAAUCCCUCCCCAUUUGUGUAGUCACUAGUAAGAGAGCAGUACAAGAAAACACACUGGGGCCUAACUACUUAAAAGCUUUUAUAAAGUGUGGCUUCUUUCCCAGAUUGACCAAGACUGCCAGUGUUACACAGUGCAUCGAAAUGAAGUGUUGACUUUUUAAGUGGUAGCUUCCACAGGCUUUUUAGAACACAUAUUUGAUUGAAAGGAUCAUUGCCAGGAAUUUAUAUGCCACUAUCACUCAGGUCAACUGACAGUGUGAUCCUUGCCUCCAGACUAAACCCAAGAAUACCCCCAGACCAAAACUUGGUCACAUUGGGAGGGGCCAUGGACUCAGACAGCAGUAAAUUGGUAAAUUUGGUAAAUUGGCUGUUCAAAACCCCCAUGGAAAGGGGGGUGUCAGUAUUUAUGAGUAUUGACAAACACAUUUUCGGGGUGGCCAGAAGCAUUCCCCACCAGAACUGUCAAGGUGACCAGAGUAAAUAAUACCACUUUAAGAGUUCCAGUCACAAUAUUCCCAGACAAUCACAUUUUAUUUCCAGAAUAGUGCAAGAAACCUAUAUGGUGGCUUAAGUAGACAGGUCAAAGAAAAUGAAAAGACAUGUGGCUGGAAAUCCAAGCAGGGAGCUAAGUGAACCAGAACAUAACAUACAGCCUGGGAAUUAAGUAUACGUUAAGUCUCUUACAGAAAAGACUUUGGAACCACAGUGGGAAGGACCAUUCCAGAUGCUUCUCACCACCUUCACUGCAGUCAAGAUUAAGAAGCAGAAUGCCUGGAUCCACCAUGCUUGAAUGAAGCAGGCACCAGAAGCCCCUUGGAAAUUGACACCAAGAGACAAUGAACUGAGACUGAAACUUAUUCGGGCAAAAUGAGUGUAUUGCGGGGGGAGGGUAGUUUGUAAUUUUAUUUAUAGAAUUGCCUUGUGUAUAAUUGUAAUUAAAAUCCUGGAAUACCUCUAUCCAAAACAAUGCUGAAUGGCCUUGGUCCCAGGUUCUAAUCAGUACACUGGAUCUAUGAGAGAGCUGGCCACUGCAGCAGGUGGACUGGCAAACUUAGAACAACCCCUACAGUUAUCCCUAAAAGGCUGGGGUCCAAGAUCACAAGUUCAUAGUAGGAGCGCUUGCUAUGGUUCAAGAUAACGUGUCUUUAGCUUUCAGUUUUAUACAAGCACAGUUUUGGAUGCAGCCAACAGCAGCUUUGAUCAUAUGGGAGAGGGUGAAAAUAAUUCUCCAGCUGAAAUUCAAAGGAUUGUCUGGGAUAAUGCCAUUGAUUCUGAGAGAAAGUUCCAAUCCUGACUGACUAUAGUAAAUUUUCGGAUUAUAUAAAGAAAUCUCAGGAGCAUCUGUGACCUAUGAUCCUGCUUCUAAUGUGGCCACUGCCUUUGUACUUACUGUACAUAAUGCCACUGUUUAUGUUAUCCACCCCAUCAGCGCACUAGGAUUAAAUCAUGAAUCAGAACAUAGGGUGCAGGCAUGAAAGGUGAAUGAAAAGUGGCAAACAGUAAACUUAGAAUCUUGUGCUGCUGGGGAACAACUAGGGUACAUUUGUGAAAGCAAUACUAUUAAUGUGUUGUGGCAAACACAUUUCUCUCUCAGGAUUUUUGAUAGAGGUGCACAGAGAGAAAGAAAGAGAAAACUAUUUCUGCUCCUUGUUUUUCUCAUGUGGAAUGUGCUUGGAGAAUUGUUUACCUGGGGUGAUUGCUUGAUUGGAUUCUGGUGAGGAUUGUUUGAGCCUGGUGGCCAAUCAGGUCCACCUGUGUCUGGACUAUCAAGAACAGGGUCACAAGUUGUGAGUAGUUAGAUAUGGUAGUUAGAGAAAGUAGGUAUGUAGUUUUAGUAUCUUCCUUUAUAUAGUAUAUUAAUGUAUUAUAGCAUAGUUAUAAUAAAGAAAUCAUUCAUCCUUCUGAA